GUGCUCGCUUCAGCGGUACAUAUACUAAAAUUGGAACAAUACAGAGAAGAUCGGCAUGACCCCUGUGCAAGGAUGACACACAAAUUCGUGAAGCAUUCCAUAUUUUU
rnacentral:snRNA from 1 species